ACUACAGCCUACGACGGGUAGGGGGCGUGAGAGCGUGGCCCCCCACACGGGAACUGAGACACGGUCCCGACGCCUACGGGCGGCAGCAGUGAGGAAUCUUGCGCAAUGGGGGAAACCCUGACGCAGCGACACCGCGUGCGGGAGGAAGGCCUUCGGGUCGUAAACCGCUUUUCUGAGGGACGAGGAAGGACGGUACCUCAGGAAUAAGUCCCGGCUAACUACGUG
rnacentral:rRNA from 1 species